GGUGGAUAGGGUUUAUUGAGUUAACGAUCGGGUUUGAUUUGGUAGGUAAAAGAAUUCGGGUCCGUAGGUUAGCAGAUUCUGGUUAACGGGUUAACAGGCCCAUCCUGAUAGGUUUUGGGUUAAUGGGUUAUCGAAUUGUAGUUUAAUGGAUUGUGGGUUAAUAUGUUGUGGGUAGUGGAUCGUGAGUUAAUGGGUAAAUGGAUUCGGUUGUUGAGUUUUGGAUUAAUGGGUUGGCAGAUUAUAUCCAUGGGUUACUAGUUGUAGUUAGGGUCUAGGGUUAAGGUUAUAUUAGAGUUAGGGUUGGGGUGAGGAUUAGGAUUAGAGUUAGGGUUAGGGCUUCAGAAAGGGUUGUGGUGAACAAGAUGAUAAAAAAAG
rnacentral:lncRNA from 1 species